rnacentral:rRNA from 1 species
UACGUAGGGUGCGAGCGUUGUCCGGAAUUAUUGGGCGUAAAGGGCUCGUAGGCGGUCUGUUGCGUCAGGAGUGAAAACUCGGGGCUUAACCCCGAGCCUGCUUCUGAUACGGGCAGACUAGAGGUAUGCAGGGGAGAACGGAAUUCCUGGUGUAGCGGUGAAAUGCGCAGAUAUCAGGAGGAACACCAAUAGCGAAGGCAGCUCGCUGGGACGUUACUGACACUGAGGCGCGAAAGCGUGGGGAGCGAACAGG